UACGUAGGGGGCAAGCGUUGUCCGGAAUCAUUGGGCGUAAAGCGCGUGUAGGCGGCUCAGUAAGUCCGCUCUGAAAGCCCGGGGCUCAACCCCGGAAUUGCCUUUAAGACUGCAUCGCUUGAAUCCGGGAGAGGUGAGUGGAAUUCCGAGUGUAGAGGUGAAAUUCGUAGAUAUUCGGAAGAACACCAGUGGCGAAGGCGGCUCACUGGACCGGUAUUGACGCUGAUGUGCGAAAGCGUGGGGAGCAAACAGG
rnacentral:rRNA from 1 species